CGACCCUAGGUCAGGCGGGGUUACCCGCUGAAUUUAAGCA
rnacentral:rRNA from 1 species